rnacentral:rRNA from 1 species
UACAGAGGGUGCGAGCGUUGUUCGGAAUUACUGGGCGUAAAGCGCGCGCAGGCGGCCCUUUAAGUCUACCCGUGAAAUGCCGGAGCUCAACUCCGCGCACGCCGGGGGAUACUGGGGGGCUGGAGACAUGUAGAGGCAAGCGGAAUUCCGGGUGUAGCGGUGGAAUGCGUAGAGAUCCGGAAGAACACCUGAGGCGAAGGCGGCCCCCUGGUUGGAUACUGACGCUGAUACGCGAAAGCGUGGGGAGCAAACAGG